GUUGAACGCUGGCGGCAGGCCUAACACAUGCAAGUCGAGCGGAUGAAGGGAGCUUGCUCCUGGAUUCAGCGGCGGACGGGUGAGUAAUGCCUAGGAAUCUGCCUGGUAGUGGGGGAUAACGUCCGGAAACGGGCGCUAAUACCGCAUACGUCCUGAGGGAGAAAGUGGGGGAUCUUCGGACCUCACGCUAUCAGAUGAGCCUAGGUCGGAUUAGCUAGUUGGUGGGGUAAAGGCCUACCAAGCCGACGAUCCGUAACUGGUCUGAGAGGAUGAUCAGUCACACUGGAACUGAGACACGGUCCAGACUCCUACGGGAGGCAGCAGUGGGGAAUAUUGGACAAUGGGCGAAAGCCUGAUCCAGCCAUGCCGCGUGUGUGAAGAAGGUCUUCGGAUUGUAAAGCACUUUAAGUUGGGAGGAAGGGCAGUAAGUUAAUACCUUGCUGUUUUGACGUUACCAACAGAAUAAGCACCGGCUAACCUCGUG
rnacentral:rRNA from 1 species